UACGGAAGGGGACUAGCGUUGUUCGGAAUUACUGGGCGUAAAGCGCACGUAGGCGGAUUUGUAAGUCAGGGGUGAAAUCCCGGGGCUCAACCUCGGAACUGCCUUUGAUACUGCAAAUCUCGAGUCCGAUAGAGGUGGGUGGAAUUCCUAGUGUAGAAGUGAAAUUCGUAGAUAUUAGGAAGAACACCGGUGGCGAAGGCGGCCCACUGGAUCGGUACUGACGCUGAGGUGCGAAAGCGUGGGGAGCAAACAGG
rnacentral:rRNA from 1 species